AUCGAUCCUUCACCUAUAGCAAUUGACAAACUCUCCCCUUCUUUAAUUGGGUUUGUAUUCAAGAAGGUCACUAGUACUCCGCCGCCUUCUCCUGUCCCGUUUUCCUACCGCCUGCUCCUACUAUGCCGACUUCUCACUGCGCCACCUGCUCCUACCAUUAUUCACCGCCGCGGCCUCCUCCGAUCUCCUAUCUCUAGCAUCAUCGUUCGCGCCUGCUCCGAACUCUGGCAUCCCCGUUUUCUCCCCCCUCUUCUUCAAUUGGUUCACCAAACUCAAUCAGGCCAACAUAGCCAAGUUAGAAACUUCAAUCUCUAUUUAUGGCGACAAACUUGAGCUAAAAGUUUAUGGGUUCAGUGUAAAGCUUUCACUUUUACUUUCUAAGAUACUGGCUGUAGCAAAGUCCUUUUCGCCAAAAGAUGAUUGAUUUAAGGUGAACUUUUUGGGUCCUGCUCCCGCUUCCACCACUCCUUAAUGAAAGAUAAGUAAAAGGUCAUUAAAGAGAAUAUGGCGAGGAACUUGAGGAACACAAAUAUGAAGCCUUUAAACCACGCAUCAUACAUGAGAUUGCAAAUCCCUUGCAAAGCUUAUUGGGAUGUAGACGAUAAGCUACGGUGCUUAGCUGAUUUGUCCCUUGCUGAGGUACAGGAUUUCAUUCCAGAGCUUCAUUCCCAAGUAUGAAAAUUGUGAAUAUGACUGCAAAAGGUGUAUGUUCAAGGAGGCAGCAAGAAAGAAGGACCAAUAGAGCUUGAAGUUUACAAUCAAGGAAUGUUCAAAAGUGAGCUAUGCAAUAAAUGGCAAGAGACGAAGACCUGCCCUUAUGGAGAUCAUUGUCAAUUUGCUCACGGCAUUGACGAGCUUCGUCCUGUCAUCCGCCAUCCUCGCUGCAAGACUGAGGUCUGUCGCAUGGUCCUUUCUGGUGCACUGAUCUGCACAGAACUGAUCAGAGUGCACAUAACUGAUCAGUUCUAUGCACUGAUCUGCACAGUUCGAGACACUGAUCAGUUCUAUGCACUGAUCUGCACAGUUCGAGACAACUUUUUUUAAUUUUUAUUUAAGAUCCUGGUUUUGUUAAGAUCUUAAUACGGUAUAUCCGUAUAUGCUCAUAAAAUACUUUAUAUAAUAAAUUGAAUUACACAAAACUAUUGAUCGUCGAUAAAUUGAAUUAUUUACACUUGUUUGUUAUUUAGGAUUUUUCAAGAACAUUGCCUUAAUUUGUACUUAAUUUGAACUCGAUCUCUAACUAGUUAUCUAGUUUGUUGUAAUAUUUAUGUUUAUUGUAACAUUUUGGUUGAUCUA